CUUUUGGAUUUUCUUGUUGUCUUCCUGCUACAUGUUACCUGCCUGCAUUUGGACUCUCAGCCUGCCCUCACCUGGCUCCACGCAGGGACUUAUGGGUAGUGGAGGUAACCAGGUCGGCGUGCUGGAAAGGAGAGGGAACGGCUCCUGCUGCCACCAGGCCGCUGAUAUGAGCCAUGUCUGCCAGCAGAAUACAACAUAGUGGACAUAAGAGGUACCUUCUUCAUGCGAGGGUAGUCGAGGAGGCGAGCGUAGGCGCUGGUUCCUGCUAUGAUGAGUCUGGGUCUGAAGAGUCGGGCCGUCUUCUCCAGC